rfam:Nicotiana attenuata strain TT chromosome 1, whole genome shotgun sequence.
GGAUGCGAUCAUACCAGCACUAACGCACCGGAUCCCAUCAGAACUCCGAAGUUAAGCGUGCUUGGGCGAGAGUAGUACUAGGAUGGGUGACCCCCUGGGAAGUCCACGUGUUGCAUCCC